rnacentral:lncRNA from 1 species
GUAUAUAUAUGUGUCGUAUGUGAUCAGGUAGUGCAACCUGGAGUGGGCCUGCGCAUGACUUCGGCCCAUCAGAUGUGAUGCUGCUGCUGGCCCAUCACGCAGGGAUAAACCCAAGCUUUCACAAAUCUCCACCAGCUUGGUUUAAGCCCAACCUUGGCCCAUCCGACAACCCUAGUGCCGACAGCUUCCUCCCUUGUCUCUUUGUCUUUCUUGUGAAAUGAGAAAGUCGAUCUUGACUCUCUCUCUCUCUUCCUCGUCUCUCUCACUCGCGACCCUUCUCCGCCGAUUCGGACUUGGUGUCGUCGUGAGGAGUUAUUGGUUGCUCUGCCUCGCAACCGUAGCUCCAUGAAGGUCUCGUCAGCUCCACCGCGAUGGCGUCGCAUCUCCUUCUCUCCAUUCUUCCCUCGAAGUUUCUUCGCCGAACGGCGAUUUGCUUCUCUGAUGAUGGCUCACACCAUCGUGACUCCAUCAUCUUUCCUCCCUAAUAUCCCCAGGUACAUCUAAUCUCUCCUCUUCAUGAGCGAUUAGGAUCAUCUGUUAGGGAUACUAAGUGAGUCUUGUGGGAACUUGAGCUAACUUGAGGAUUCUUUGCCUUUGCAUGUCGUCUCAGGUGACUCGUGACUCUAUCUCUAGUCGCGAUUGAGAACCUGACAUGUCGGUAAGCUCUUGCCUGAGCUCCAUCAUCACGCUCUACCUCUUUCGUAGAUAACGUAAGCUCAUGUCUUAACGAACCUUCUCUAAUAUGCUUUUCACUUGUCGAUCUGACUCUUCUGUUUCUGUUUCAGAAGCCGGUUUAGCUCUGUGACGAGCUUACAUAGUUUCAAGCGUGAAACCUUUCCUUGAUCGGACAUUUGAUUCAGCUCCCUGAGCUGUUAUUAUAUUAUCAUGUUCUGCUGGUAAGCCUUUCAACCAAUACUCUUGUGCUCAGGUAACAUUCUUGCGUUUUGUUACUCACAACAAUAUUCUGUGGCUUGAUGUAGGUUCACUGUCUAGUAGGUGUUGGUGAUUGAUUGUUGAAACCUUUCCGGACCCAGAUGCUUGCUUCUGACAACUCGUGAAGCAUCGUCUGUGUCUCUGUUCCUCUUAUGUGGGAAUGUCUGGUGGCCCAAGUUACUCCAUCUGAACCGGGUCUCCUUACUCAGUUCUAAUUAUCCUCCAGGUGAUUCCUUAUUUAGUAACAUUCCCUGUUGCCUUUGAUUUUCCAUUUCUACACACACUGACCGUUUAUCUUACAUCGACAAUUGAUGUACGUGUUAUGCGAGGAUGGGAUCAUACAACUUGAAUCACCUGGAGCGUCUCCAGUCUUCUUAGUUCACAUUCAAAAGCUCACAGCAAAGCUGGAACUUCUGACCAGGUACCGUUUUUGUUAGGAAAUCUGCAGGAUUGACGUUUGUAUGAAUCUUGUUUAGAACAAUAUCUCCUGCUUCCACUAGAUCACGAAUGAAGUUGAACUUGGUAGCUAUAUGUUUUGUCUUCUCGUGAUUGACUGGAUUUCUUGCUAGGGCUAGGGCACUUUGAGAAUCACAGUAGAGUUUGAUUCCCUGUUGAUUGAAACCUAGUUCAUUGCAUAUUUCCUUUAGCCACAUUGCCUCUUUAGCUGCUUCAUUCAUAGCCAUGUAUUCUGCUUCUGUAGUAGAAAGUGCAACCACUGAUUGUAGACAUGAUUUCCAUGAGAUAGUGUUACCUCCGAAUUUGAAUGCAUAUCCAGUUACUGACCGUCUUCUAUCCAUGUCUGUUGCAUAGUCUGAGUCUGAGUAUCCUUCCACUAGGAGUGUAGAGUUCUUUCUGAAUGUUAGAUUCGAAUCCACUGCUCCCUUUAAGUACCUUAGGACCCACUGGACUGCUUUCCAGUGUUUCCUUCCUGGUUUACUCAUGAAUCUGCAGACGUAGCCUACUGCAAAACCUAGAUCAGGUCUCGAGCCUACCAUUGCGUACAUAAGGCUUCCCACAGCGCUAGCGUAGGGAAUCCUUUCCAUCUGAGAAGCUUCCACCUUUCACUCAGCAUCUGUUAGGCUUCUCAAUUUAAAAUGUGCUGCAGUGGGAGUAAUCACAGGCUUAGCGUCCUGCAUCCCAAACGUCUUUAGGACUUUCUCAAUGUAGUUGCUCUGAGAUAGGAUCAGGGUUCCUUUCUCUCUGUCUCUUGUAAUAUCCAUGCCCAAAAUUCUUGAGGCCUUUCCCAUAUCCUUCAUCUCAAAUUCUCCACUCAGUUUUUCCUUAAGCUCUUUGAUCACCCUUUUGUUUCCUGAGGCGAUCAGCAUGUCAUCGACAUAUAGGAGUAGGUAGAUGGCCUUGUCAGUUUUAACAUCCCUCAUGUAGACACACAAGUCUUUACUGCACCGUUCGAAUAACUGAUUCUUCAUGAAGCUGUUGAACCUAUGGUUCCAUCUUCUUAGGGACUGUUUCAAGCCAUACAGGGACUUUCUCAACAGACACACUUUGUUCUCUGUUCCUGGCUUUAUAAACCUCUCAGGUUGUUCCAUUAACAUCCUUUCCUCUAGACUUCCAUGUAGAAAGGCUGUUUUGACAUCCAUCUGUUCCAGUUCCAAGUUUAAAUUUACCACAAUGCUGAGCAUAAGUCUGAUAGAGACGUGUUUCACAACUGGUAAAAAUAUUUCAUUGUAGUCAAUCCCUUCUGUCUGAGAGUACCCCUUCGCAACUAGUCUGCCCUUGUAUCGUUCGUCCUCAACACCUGGGAUCCCGGGUUUUAAUUUAAACAGCCAUCUGCAUCCAACAAGCUUUGACUUAGCAGGUUUAUCAAUUAGAUCCCAGGUUCUGUUCUUCCUAUGAGAUUCCAUCUCCUCCUCAGCUGCAUUUUUCCACAACUUCUUCUGUGGACUUUUCAUUGCCUCAGCGUAGGAUUUAGGUUCUUCAACCUCUAAGUCGUUGAUGACAUUUAGCGCAUAGGCUACAAAGUUUCCAUCCUCAUAGCGAGAUGGGGGCCUCACGUUCUGUCUUCUUGCUCUGUCUCGAGCUAGAACAUAGGUGUCUAAAGAUCCAGUGUCACCACUUUCACUUUCAACCUCGUCAUUCUGUUCUUGGUCACUCGAACUACUCGACUCUUCAGAUGAUGAUGAUUCUUCUCCACCUUGAUCAGAUGUGUCUUUGGAUUCGACAGAAGGAGAAGGCCCUCUGAUCAAAUCAUCACUGAAUGAGACCCUCUUUUUAGCUUGUUUCUCUGUAUCUUUAGUCACUCCUGUGCUUUCUUUUGCUUUAGCAACGGUGUGCUUGUACAGCUCGUCUUCGUUGAAAACAACAUUUCUACUUGUUCUGCAUCUGCCCUCAUCCUCUAUCCAAACUCGAUAGCCUUUAGUACCCAUAGGGUACCCCACAAACACCUCUUUGAUGGCUCUAGGUCCUGUUUUCUCCUCAGUUAUGUGGACAUACGCAGUGCAUCCAAAAGUUCUUAGAUGUCUCAAGUCAGGUUUCGCGCCGGUCCACAAUUCUUCAGGCAUUCUGAACUCGAGUGUAGAGUUAGGUGAUCUAUUGAUCACAUGGAUAGCAGUAAAUGCUACCUCUGCCCAGAAGCUUUGGUCUAAGCCAGAUUCGGCUAGCAUGCAUCUAACCUUAUCCAUGAUGGUUCUAUUCAUCCUUUCUGAAACCCCAUUUUGCUGAGGAGUGUAGCUGCAGGUUAUGUGACGUUUAAUUCCCACCUGUUUGCAGUAAUUAUCGAACUGCUUGUUGCAGAACUCCAACCCAUUAUCUGUCCUUAGGCAUUUGAUUUUCUUCUCUGUCUUUGUCUCCACCUCAGCUUUCCAUUCUCUGAAUUUAAAGAAUACCUCAUCCUUAGUCUUCAGAAAAUAAAUCCAAACCUUCUUAGAGAAAUCAUCAAUAAAUGUCACGAAAUAUUUGUUUCCAGCAAGGCUAUCUGGUGUUGAUGGAGAACCCCAAAGGUCAGAGUAAAUAUACUCUAGAAUCCCUUUGGUCACAUGCUUAGCCUUAGGAAAACUUUGCUUGUGAGAUUUCCCAAUUAUGCAGUGUUCACAGAAAUUCAAUGUCUUAACUUCCUUGUCAAUGAUAAAUCCCUGUUUGACAAGUUCAGACAUGUUAUUAAGAUUCAUAUGACCGAGGCGUGAAUGCCAUACAUUAGUCAUAUUCCUCUCAACUUUAGAUAGAUUAGCCUCUCCUCGAGAGACUGUCCCCUGUAGAUAAUAUAAUCCCUGAUGAUAUUUUCCUGAGAUAACCGGUUUAUCAUCCUUGUAGAAAUUAACCAUGAGAUCCUUGCCUUCAUAAUUGCAUCCUGAUGUUUCCAAUAUUCCAUAAGAGAUUAAGUUUCUACUCAUACCAGGCAUAUAUCGUACGCCUGUUAGAACCACAGUAGACCCAUUGGGAUUUAGAAUUUUAAUCUUUCCAACUCCUUGAAUGUUGCUAUGCGUGUUAUUUGCCAUUAACACUUUUCCACCUUUGAAUUCUUCCAGGUCAAACAAGAAGCUCUUGUCUGGUGUAAUGUGGAACGAGCAGCCAGAGUCCAUCACCCAUUCGUCCUUGGAGUAUUGGGUGCUCACGGUGAGGAUUAGAGGUUCCUUGGACUCUGCCACAACAUUUGUUGAGUCUGGCGUUUUGUAAGGUUUCUUAUCAGGGCAGUCACGCUUCCAGUGGCCCUCCUUCCCGCAUACAAAACAUCCCUUUGAGCCUUUGGUGUUCCUAGGACGCGACUUGGAACGUCCCUGUCUGCUCUUGGAUCUUCCCCUGUAGGAUUUUCCAUUUCCUUUGCCAGAGCGUUGGUCUGAUCUUCCUCUGUCUGUCACCAUCAGACCUUCUCCACCAGACCUGGUAAACUUACCACUCUCAAUCAACUCUCUUUCUUUCGACCUUGCAGCCCCUGUAACCUCAGCUAGGCUUAGGGUGUCUCUUCCAUACUUGAGAGUCUCUUUGAGUUGAUCAUACUUGUUUGGUAGAGAACUUAGCAGUAGGAUAGCUUGAACUUCCUCGGAUACUUCAACUUGCAAAUUGUUUAAAUCUGCAACUAGCUUCAAGAAUUCAUCCACAUUCUCAUCAAUGGAUUUUGAGUCGGCCAUCUUAAAAGUGUAGAACCUAAGCUGUAGAUAAAUCCUGUUUGGUAGAGAUGUCUCUGUGUACAACUUGUUUAGUGUACUCCACAUUGCAGCAGCAGUUUCACAAUGUUGAAUUUUCCUUAAGACUUUGUUCCCUACAUUCAGCACAAUUAGGUCCUUAGCUUUCUCUGAUUUUUCAAACUUUGCAGGAUCAAUUUCAGGUGUGGGCGCAACAAGCCCAGCUAGCCCCUUCCCAGUGUCCUUUAUGGCAGACUCGGGUUCAUCCUUAGGAUUCACGUCAUCCUUCAAAAGCUUCUCAUCGGUGAGAAUAGCUUUCAGUCCAAGCACUCCAAAGUGAGCAAGCAUUCUCACUUUCCAUAGGGCGAAGUCACCAUCUCCUUCGAAACGGUCGAUCUCGAUGCGUUCCUUUGACUUCACCUUUGAGAAGGUACUGAGUAUGCACCUCUUCUGUCUCUCUCUCUAUCCUAAGCAACCUUGAUGAAAACCGGAAGCUCUGAUACCACUUGUAGAAUGUAAUUAGCUCAUGUUAACUUAGGUUAGAGGUUAUAUACAAUGUUUCAAACACGUUUUGCUCCCUCAUAUCGUUUGUUCCCACGUCAUUGCAAUCUAUUCCAUAGAAAGGAAUAUUCUCCUGUUCCAUCAUACACCCACAAAGCCAAUGUUUAGAUCAGUCACCGAACAAACACAUCAAUGGCGAAAUAGACAACCAGGUCACUUACCUUAAGUUGCUGAGAUUUAACCGCAGAGAGUGUUUCAAUUGGCUGUAGCCCACUGUUCUCUGCAAGAGCCAUAGGGACGGAGUCCAAAGCUUCUGCAAAUGCCCUUAUUGCAUACUGCAUAGACAGAAGCAGUUGUAACAUGUUGAGUCUUCAGCGUUAAGAUUUUUGAAAUAGAUGAUUUCACUACAGACUCAAAGAGAAGAGUAAAGAUCGUCUUUACCUGCUCGACGCCAGGGUAUUUAUCUAGUUGUCCUUGUUGAAGUCUCCUUUCCCUUGAUGCUGUAUCUUGUUGACUGAUCUCUGAUGCUAUAACCUGCUGUUGUUGCUUCUCUCCGGUAACCCUAAUCACCCAUACUAACAUUGUAUAUAUAUGUGUCGUAUGUGAUCAGGUAGUGCAACCUGGAGUGGGCCUGCGCAUGACUUCGGCCCAUCAGAUGUGAUGCUGCUGCUGGCCCAUCACGCAGGGAUAAACCCAAGCUUUCACA